UCAACCGCGUGUCGGGAGAGGAGGAGCGGCGGACGGGUGACGGGCGGCGUUCGCGCUCGCCCGCGCCGUCCACUCGCCGUCCUGCCCGAACGCGUGCACUUCUCCCCUUGUAGGACGUCGCGACCCGUUGGGCGCCGGUCUAAGGCCCGCGGAGGAGACCGCGCGCGCUCGUCGCGCGCGUACCCGCGGUGUCCCGGCCGGCCCGACAGACGGUACGACAAAGGCGCUGGGCCGCGAUUCGCUCGCGUUCGGCCCGCCGCAAGCGCGUACGGCAAACCCGACGUCCGGACCUAGUGCCGGACCCGGGCCCGCUCGGCUGCUGGCGGCGGCGCUCUCGGACAGACCCACGGCGCGCCCGUCGGCGACGCUAUAGCUUCGGGUACUUUCAGGACCCGUCUUGAAACACGGACCA
rnacentral:rRNA from 1 species